CCUACGGGUGGCAGCAGUGAGGAAUAUUGGUCAAUGGGCGGAAGCCUGAACCAGCCAAGUCGCGUGAGGGAUUAAGGCCCUAUGGGUCGUAAACCUCUUUUGUCAGGGAGCAAGGUCGUCCACGUGUGGGCGUAUGGAGAGUACCUGAAGAAAAAGCAUCGGCUAACUCCGUGCCAGCAGCCGCGGUAAUACGGAGGAUGCGAGCGUUAUCCGGAUUUAUUGGGUUUAAAGGGUGCGUAGGCGGGACCUUAAGUCAGCGGUAAAAUUGCGGUGCUCAACGCCGUAGAGCCGUUGAAACUGGAGCUCUUGAGUGAGCGAGAAGUAUGCGGAAUGCGUGGUGUAGCGGUGAAAUGCAUAGAUAUCACGCAGAACCCCGAUUGCGAAGGCAGCAUACCGGCGCUCAACUGACGUUGAGGCUCGAAAGCGUGGGGAGCAAACAGGAUUAGAUACCCGAGUAGUC
rnacentral:rRNA from 1 species